AGAGCGCCUGUCUAGUGUUGGCGGCGAACUCCCUGGUUAAGAAAUCUACGGUGUGCGAUCUUGGCGUCCUUUCUCGACGAUCCUCUCGGAUUUCGUAUCGGAUGCAAUCUCAUAAUGUGCUUGGUCUGCAUACUGUACAUGUGGACUUCAGGAGCAGGGCAAUGAAAGACCUACAGUGCCAGGAUUACAAUGGCAUGUCUUCAAGUAAACAAUGCCAGCUUUUUCCCCUGACAAACUCCAGUAGAAUACCCACGGGACCAAUUCACCAAAUUACAUCGACAGCUGACAAGAGCAACCAGUCAACCUUUGAUGGCUAGCUGCAGCUGUAUUUGUGCUCACAUUUGCUGAGAUUUUGUUUGGUCCAAAACACU